rnacentral:lncRNA from 10 species
UGGAGUUCCAAUCUCGUACCACCUCUUCCCGGAUCCCGUGGUCCAAUGGCUCUACCAGUACUGGCCUCAGGGCCAGCCAGCUCCGCUCCCUCCACAGCUGCAGAGCCUCUUCCAAGAGGUGCUACAGGACAUAGGUGUUCCUUCAGGCCAUUGCUACAAGCCCUUCACCACCUUCACCUUCCAACCUGAAAGGGAACAUCACAGAAAGGUGAAGAAAUUUGCCCUAAAUCAUAAAACUUUGUAAGUGGCAGAACAAGGAUUUGAAGCUGGCAGUCUGGUUCCAGAGAUGGGGUUUUACUAUGUUACCCAGGCUGGUCUUGAACUUCUGUUCUCAAGAGAUCCACACACCUCAGCCUCCCAAAGUGCUGGGAUUACAGGCGUGAGUCACUUCACCUGGCCCAUACUGGCUGCUUUCCACCAGCGAUGGAGCGUGGGGACAGUACUGCUGCAAGUGGAUCGUGGGACUCCUCCAUCAGGUGCAGUGUGAGGUCCUGGGGACACUUGCUGUGAGUACCCUCAGCCAGCUCAGAGUUCUACCGAAGAGACUGACAAGUACACCUGCAGUGACAACACGUGAGUUCAGUGCUGUGAAGAUGUGUGAGGGAGCAUAGGAGGAGGGCAGCCAACUCAGCUGGGAUGGGAGGUAGUCAGGGAGGACUUCCCAGGAGAGGUGACCCUGUUGCUGAAACCCCUACGAGUGAAUGGAAGGAAGUCAACAACAAUAAUACCAAACACUUAUUUAACACUUAUUUUGUGCCAAGUGCUUUACAUAUAAGAACUCAUAAAAUUUCCACAACAAUCCUAUUAUCCCCAUCUUACAGGUAGGGAAAUCAAGGCAUAAAGAAGUCGAAUGGCUUCUCACCAGCCAGUGCUGGGCUUGGGAACUGAACCCAGGCAGUCUGGCUCUAAUGCCUGUGCCCUUAACCACUCCACCUUCACUUAGGCAAGUGAAACUGGCCAUGGGAACAGCCUGUACCAAGCCAGGAAUGAGACAGUUUAUGUAGGCUUUAUCAGGGUCCAACCAAGAGAUUGAAACCACACUGUAAUGUGAACAGAGAGAAUUUAAUAUAAAGGAUUAUUAUUCUAUAAGGAAUAUUAUUACUAUUAUAACAACAGAGGGUUGGAGUGAUGAGGACUGGCUUGUAAGAAGUCCAGAGCCACCUGGACUCAGAGCCACCCUAGCUUUGGAUUUCUUCCAGUCUCAGCCCCCUAGAGCCCUUGCUCCCCAAAGAGCCUUGCUCCCCGCUAGAGGUCAAAGGUAAGUCAUAGCAAUGGACCCAGACUCUUGUUAUUACCCAUGACAUGGUUUGAAUCUGUGUCCCCAACCAAAUCUCAUGUUGAAUUGUAAUCCCCAGUGUUGGAGGUGGGGCCUGGUGGGAGGUGAUUGGAUCGUGGGGGUGGCUUCUAAUGGUUUAGCACUGUCCCCCUGGUGCUGUCUCAUGAGUUCUCACGAAAUCUGGUUAUUUAAAAGUAUGUGGCACUUUCCCCUUCGCUCUCUCCUUCCUGCUCCAGUCGUGUAGGACGUGCCUGCUUCCCCUUCACCUUCCGCCAUGUUUGUAAGUUUCCCGAGGCCUCCCCAGAAGCCGUCAUGCUUCCUGUACAGCCUGUGGAACCAUGAGCCAGUUAAACCUCUUUUAUUUAUAAAUUU